AUGAUGUGCUUAAUGGCAUCACAAAGAUUAAGAGAUCCUUUGAAGAGAAGAAGCCAAAGAACUCAGUGUUAUUGCACUAAGCAAGUCAAGCAGCAGUACAUAAAAUUCACUUUAUGCUAGACUGGGUCUGGCUGCGACAACAAACUCAUCCAUGGU
rnacentral:lncRNA from 1 species